rnacentral:lncRNA from 1 species
UUAUUUUCAUUUUAAUUUUCUUUUUUUAUUUUUAUUUUAAUCAUUUUAAAACAUUUUUGACCCCAACUUUUUGAGGUCAGGCUUUUUAUAUUUUUGUUGACCUUCCACAUUUUUCUUAGAUUUUUUUUUGAUGCUUUGACCUCUCUUUGAGAUUUUUUCUUUUAUUUUCCUUAUUUAAUCAAUAUUAAAUCAUUUUUAAUUUAUUUUAUUUUGAUUUUGGUUGACCACUUGUUUUUUUGAGUUGACUUGAUUGCUUGGU